GCCGCCGCCUCCCCCUUCCUUCGUCCUCGUCCCCGCCCCUUCCGCAAGCCCCUCUUCCCCAUGCCGUCGGUCCCCUCCUCUUUCGUGUCUCCCCUCGUUGGUCGUUGCCUCAUGUCACAGAGGAGUUACAGCCAGGUCGCCGCACUUGCCCCGUCCGCCUCAGAUUUGAAGCAGGAGGACGGAGGCGGCCACCUGCCGCCGGCUCGGACAUGGGAGGAUAGGGAAGGGGAGGGUGAGCUCAUGGCCACAUGAGGGAGGGAGGGAGGAAGAUGAUUCGUGGGCGGGUCUGGUGAGGCCUUCCCCGCCGGCCUCUUCUUCUUCCUCGCGCUGCUGCCAUCUCCCUUGUCGUCCUCGUUGACUCCUGCAUCGCUCUUCUUGGCUGCCACUCCUUGUCAGCCGCAUCCUCCCCUAGCUGGAAGAAGCCGACGGAGGCCGACCCGCUGCAGCCACGACAUAUGAUGCAGAUUACUUGUGAUGUUCUGCACAAUCAACCUGGGAAGUGAUAGGGCUGCCUUCCAUUUUCUUGCUGGAAUGUAGCACUGAUAUUGUGGUCAGUUCAGAAAAUUGGAAGUGUUAGGAUCUUUGUAAGUUUUGGGUCUGCUGCCCCAACUCUGUCGUGGCCCAGGCCUAGCCAGGCGACAGCGGACUGCAAAGAAGCCCUGGGAGGAGGACCCCGACUCGGAUGACGGCCCCGCUUGCUUCUUCGACUUGUGGACCAACUGCACUUAUGGCUUAUCCAAGUUUUCAGUGGAGGAUCUGGUUCGGCAGAUCAGUUGAACUUGGUCAAUGCUGUUGGAGGAAGGAAAUAUAAUGAGGUGUUGACUCAGGAACUGUAGGAAGAAACAUGUUAGAGUCCAGUAGACGGCUCGUAGAAGGGUUGGAGCUGAAAAAAAUAUAACAUUAGCUUUAGAACUGGUUGCCUAUGCUGAAGAAGUCCACAUUGGCAUUUUCACCCUGCUAUUGUAGGAUUUAUGAUAUGUCUGAAAAAAGGGAAUUUUACCUUGUCAUGUACGUGUAUAUUUCUUGUUAUAGAUCUUACCUGCUCAAUGAAGUGCAACAAAGCAAACAAAUAUUAUUUAUAUAGCUAUCUGCAAUGCACGGUUAGGGUUGUCUCUUUCUACAGGAUAUUCUUUGUGUGUAUAUGAUCGCAGCAGAAAGAGGAUUGAGGAAAUGUAGAUGCGGCUUUGUGAGCAUCUACUGAGGUUGUCAGAUAGCACUUCUAUCUGAAGUCUUGUGGAUUAGAGAUGAAGGAUGAUGGGUUUGGCAACGAUGUUUGUUGUUUUAUUUUUUCUGCUUAGUAUUUGUUUCAGAUAUAAACUAUUCUGGUUAUGAUUUCUACACUGCGUAGUGUUGCUUGGUUAUUAUGAAAUUUAAAGCUAACUUACACACACCUCUUUUCACCAUGAACAGAUAUAUAUGCACCUGCUUUUGGGUAUUAGUAUUUCCCUUUCUCUGCUAUUAAGAAUGUGGCCCUAAUAUGGAGAAAGACGUCGAUCUUCUCUCGAAGACCACAAGGUUGAUGUCUUCUGUUGAUCAAUUUUGCUGACUCAAAAUGAUACUUCAUUCAUUUUGUUGUAACGAUCACCUUUGCCAGGCCAGUUGUUCUCGAAGGACCGGGAAAUUGGGGAGGAGGACAAUAAAUAUGCAAAAGGAGAGGUUGAUGUCCAUCCGAAUGCAAAAACAAGAGGUGCAAAUUUGAGGAUUAGCUUUUGUGGUUCUCGGUCUGCAAGGGAAUAAGAGUUCUUGUACUGACCAUUGUCUUUUUAUGUAUGCCAACUUUGCUUUGGUUAUUUCCUGGAAGCAACAAUGUCUUUCAACCUUCGUUAUAAUGCCAAGAUGCCACUACUGGGUAAAAAGAGACAUCUUUAUUCACACCUACAUUUAGGCACAAGACAUGUUCAGCAUAAGUCUAGUCGCAAUGGUGGAGGAUAUAUCCCCGCCAUGAAUGGAUGUGUUUUACACUGAGAUGGCGCGGGUCACUGAUGAGGCAACUGGCCGAGGUGAGAUCAGGAAGAGACGGCGGCACAAACUUAAUUGGCAAGCUCACAGGUCACGGCUAACAUAAUCAGGCAUCAACAUCAAGCAACAACCAGCCAGCAGAAUGCAGCAAAGCAGCCAACGGCAGCAAGUAGAAAACGACAUCAGCAACACGCAGCCAGCAACAUGCAGAGGUGAUUUCUCACCCUUCUAUUAGUGCCAAGGUCGGACGAAGCAGAGCAAUGAGCUCCUUACAGGGGCAGUGGCGGUCAACAUCGAGGAGGAAGUAGGAGGGACCCGUGGUCCAGGGGAGACACGGAGCCCGUCACGGUCUGUGGAGCUGUUCGGCGAGGAGGAUGACCACAGCGGCAGCCGACGAAACCGAAGAAGGCGGCCUCGGUCCUGCGUGCUGGCACCCGGAAUCACCAUUAAAGGGACAACAGGAGCAACAAUGGAGCUAGGGGAACUACCUAGGAACAAGAACACACAAGAAAAACGAGGUGGUUCACGGCGGCGUCCAGCGUGCGUGCAUGUUGGAGCCGGAGGCGUGGACGUCGAUCCGGACUGAGGGCUUGUGUACCCCGCCGAUUCAUGCGGCUAGCGUUGCAACAGCGACUGGUGCCCCUGGCGAGCUGGAAAAGAAAGGGGAUCUAGGAAGGAAAUGAAGUGAGGAGGGAAGUAGCGGGGCAGAGUAGGAGAAAAGUUGCUAACUUUCUAAGCAGCAAUCACACACUACUUAUGCCAUGUAUUGUUGGAUUGCCGCCUUCCUGGAGCUCUAUGCGGUGGGUGCACUGAUCCAAUUUUCUCCUGUCAAAGUUGGUAAAUGAAGCGGUAUGUUAAACUUGAA